UACAGAGGUCUCAAGCGUUGUUCGGAUUCAUUGGGCGUAAAGGGUGCGUAGGUGGCGCCGUAAGUCAGGUGUGAAAUUUCGGAGCUUAACUCCGAAACUGCAUUUGAUACUGCGGUGCUUGAGGACUGGAGAGGAGACUGGAAUUUACGGUGUAGCAGUGAAAUGCGUAGAGAUCGUAAGGAAGACCAGUGGCGAAGGCGAGUUUCUGGACGGUAAACUGA
rnacentral:rRNA from 1 species